AGACUAAGAGACGACAGCCAGCAGUGCAAAAAAUAAACUGAAGGGAAAAUUUUGAGCUCACAGCACAGAAGGACUAAACCCACAGAAUGGGAAAUGCAUUUCUUUGAAAAUCUGGAGGUGAUGUCUGGGACCAUCUGCUGACCUGUCCUCCUUGUCAGCAAGAACCUCCUGCAUAAGGGAACAGUUUAAAGGAGGACAAUCCUCCUGAUUAAGCACCAUCAUGGUCCCAUUCCUCCCAGGCACCAGCUUGGACAUUAGCUCUCACCAUCAAUAGUAAGGCAGAGGUUUGCACAUGGUAAAACAUACUGCAUGAAUGAGCAACUGCAGGUUCUAGUGGCCAAGGCAGCACAGUAGACAGGUAACCACAUGAUAAGAUCCUCUCCAAACUCUGCAGAGGAGGACAGAGAUGAGGACUUCAGGAAUUCAGUUAUGAGGAUAAUAUUUCUGGUAUCAUACAUACAAUAGUGCUAGGUACUGGAAAGCCUGUCAAUGUAUUCAGCACUAUGGUUGAAAGCAUGGAGGAGUCCACUUUCUGCACACUUGGCAUCUCUCGCAUGGUAUCAGCCCUCUGCAGGAUGGGCACUUCCUACAGCUGAACCGCCCAAUAGGAAUUCCCGCUUGCAAGCUUCACAGCAUCUGUGGAAGCUCAAAGAUGACAGGCACUCCUCCCUACACCUCCCCCUGCCAUUUUUCCAGCCCUCUCCCCUCCCAGCUCAUCCAAUGAUCUCAAUAUGCCAGGAAAAUUCAGCCCCAGAUUUUAUGUUCUUGUAUUAGGUGUUCAGCAUCUGUUACCUUUUUGUGCUUUUGUUUAUACAGUAUAAUCUAAUCUUGGU